ACACCAACAAGCAGUGGAUGUUGUCAUGGCGAGCUUCGGCGCGAAACGGGGAAGCUAGAAAUCGCUGCGGAGACAAGCGCCGCUGCAGGAAAGCACAGUUCCACCGCAUUCUGCACGAUUCCUGCUGGUAUGGCUUUCUCCAGCAUUUCUAUGCUGGACUGCUGCUCACAUAUGAUGUGAUGUGCGCCCAUUUCCAGACUCUGAAGGUCGCGCAAAAUCGAAUCGGUUGGUAUGUUUAGCAUUUCUACGCCGCAGCGAACAGGGCAGGUUCCUCAAGUUUUCCCCACGUGAGAAUGAGAUUCUAUCUUUGGAGACUACCGAGGCUGGACCCUGUUCUUCUCUAUUUGUGCAUUGGUAGCAAUGAGGGUUGUGGCUGUGAUUGGAGACACGAGUAAGUAUAUCUUUGGCAAUCUGCUCAUGCUUGUAGAUUCUUCCGAAAUUCGCUCUGCCACAAUCUCGCAGGCGUUGAAUCCUUGCGUCAUCAGAAUCUGCCGCUUUUUAUCUUCGUUGGGCCAGAGAGCUGGUAUUCAUAGUGCUCUUGGAUUCUUCGAAACUUGCACAACAAGCCUCACAACAGACUUGUCGUCGAGGCGGCCUCUAGCUGGCCGCUCUUCACACAGACUUGGAUUUUUUUUCUUUCUUUAUUUGUUUGUUGCAAUCAAUGCUUUUGCAUAGUCUCCUUAGUGCACGAGAUUUGAGUAGAGGUGAUUCACAUUUUCAUUGACAAGGGAUUAGGAGAUCAGAUCAGAGUCUUUUGAAACUUACAUCAACAUGGGAGUUUUUUUUACUUUUUUUAUUAAAAAGAUAAAGGCACGAUUAGGAUUUUAUAGACACUUACGCAAGUUGUGUCUGUAUGGGUCUUCAGAACAGUGAUGCAAGGAGUAAUGUUGUAGCCUUAGAUGAUGCAAUCUACAAUUGCAUAUAAUGACGAGAAGAAAUAGAUUUGUUGACAACACUAGGUGGCUACAAACAAGC